GAUGAAGAACGUAGCAAAAUGCGAUAAGUAAUGUGAAUUGCAGAAUUCAGUGAAUCAUCGAAUCUUUGAACGCACAUUGCGCCCGCUGGUUUUCCGGCGGGCAUGCCUGUUCGAGCGUCAUUUCAACCCUCAAGCCCCCGGGUUUGGUGUUGGGGAUCGGCUCUGCCCUUCUGGGCGGUGCCGCCCCCGAAAUACAUUGGCGGUCUCGCUGCAGCCUCCAUUGCGUAGUAGCUAACACCUCGCAACUGGAACGCGGCGCGGCCAUGCCGUAAAACCCCAACUUCUGAAUGUUGACCUCGGAUCAGGUAGGAAUACCCGCUGAACUUAAGCAUAUCAAUAAGGCGGAGGA
rnacentral:misc_RNA from 1 species